rnacentral:rRNA from 1 species
UGGGGAAUAUUGCACAAUGGGCGAAAGCCUGAUGCAGCGACGCCGCGUGAGGGAUGACGGCCUUCGGGUUGUAAACCUCUUUCAGUAGGGACGAAGCGCAAGUGACGGUACCUGCAGAAGAAGCACCGGCUAACUACGUGCCAGCAGCCGCGGUAAUACGUAGGGUGCGAGCGUUGUCCGGAAUUACUGGGCGUAAAGAGCUCGUAGGCGGUUUGUCACGUCGUCUGUGAAAUCCUAGGGCUUAACCCUGGACGUGCAGGCGAUACGGGCUGACUUGAGUACUACAGGGGAGACUGGAAUUUCUGGUGUAGCGGUGGAAUGCACAGAUAUCAGGAAGAACACCGAUGGCGAGGGCAGGUCUCUGGGUAGUAACUGACGCUGAGGAGCGAAAGCAUGGGUAGCGAACAGG